GAUUCAUUUAUCCCACAAGAUUAUCAGUGUAUAAAUUUCACAUCCCCAUUCUCUCUUUCAGCCACGAUUUUUGAGAAAUAUUUCUCCGCGACCAUCACUCUUUCCAAGAUGCCGUCAAGUGUCUCUCGGAAUUCGCAUGCAACGCAAGUUUCCCGGACACGAAUAUUUAAAGACUACGGAGUAGAGAAUGCUGGGAUAUCAGAGCAGGACAGAAUCUGUGUGAAAGGCUGGUUUCCAGUCCUUUGAGCUUUCGUGUAUCAUCAACCGAUGUAAACUAGAUGUCAGAACAAGAGGCCUAACCGUGAUGUUUGAAAUCAUGAAAACAUACGGAAC